rnacentral:misc_RNA from 1 species
UACAUUAGAAUAUUAGUGGAUAUGUACAGAGGAAUCAUGUAUUUUGCCACUCGCUCACUGACACUUAUUUUUCUAUUUUCUUGGGUUACUGCGAGAGGGGAGGCUUUGCUUAACCCAGACGGCAGUAUUACUCAGCCAAAUAAAACUGUUAAUAUAUCGGAGGAUCAGAUGGAGUUAACCCUCUGGGCAAACAUCACUCUCCCAGUCGACACCGUGUCGGUUGGAAAUAUUAUGGUUUUCGUCUACGAUGCAAAUGGUCUUGGUGGCCGCCUCAUUUCUCGACUCGCAAAUACUUCUGGAAUCUCUCAAGCCUCACCAGACGCGCAGAUGAUUCACGAACUUAGGUUGGAGAAGGCCAAUAUCACUUUAACCUCUAAGGUUACAAAAAACCCUACCACCAAUCAGUCUCAAGUUGGUUCAGAAUUCAAAAUCCAUUUAACUGGGUCGACACUUUACCAGCAUUUCUUUGUGAUACAAAAGGUUCUAUUUGUAGUAACCUCUUACAGCAAACUUGGUGAAGCGGAUGAUCAUCAAAAUGACCAACUCUUCUUGAUGUUUUACACUAAGUCGGGUGUGACCAGCCAAGACAAUGAAACCACCAAUAAACCAAUAGCUACAGAAGCUACAACUCCAGUGUUGCCAUUGGCUAGUACUAAUAUGUCAGUACAGGACACCAUAAAGAAAAUAUAUUCAACUACCAUGGAAGUUGUGCCUUCAGUAAUAUUGAGAACUGUAUCAGCAAGUGCCCAAACAACUGUUACAUCACCAAUUUCAGUUAUACCAACUUUUGUAAGCCUUAAUAUGUCUCCAAGAGUUUGCAAAACUGUUAGCCCCUCAAACACAGUUUGGUCCACAUUUAAUAUUGCAUCUGCAAGUGAUCAAAAUACUGUUGGGCCACCAACAACUACAGGUAUGGUUAAAUUGUGUAUUGUUUGUUAAAUCCUUGUUAACCUCACCCUGUGACUAUUAGGGAGAAUUUAAAUGGCCACUUGAGGGUUCUCGUGUUUCAGUACCUGAUCUGGUGCCAAAAUUACAGCACAAGAACAAGGUUAAGAGUGAAGUCCCUUGGCAUCAGUGUAAUGAAUAAGGAGACCUGGUAAUGAAAAGAACAGAUAGUUCAAGUAAUCGAGCAGUGGCAAUUGGUGUUUCCUUUGCUGUAUUAGUUAUAAUUGUG